rnacentral:rRNA from 1 species
AGCUCCAAUAGCGUAUAUUAAUGUUGUUGCAGUUAAAAAGCUCGUAGUUGAAUUUCUGGUUAAAAUCUUAGCUGGCUUUGGUCGUUAAUGUUUUAAUCAUCCGUUAGAGAACUAUAACCGUCCUUAACUGGUCAUUAUAGAGAUCUAACAUUUUACUUUGAAAAAAUUAGAGUGUUCAAGGCAGGCAAUCGUCAUGAAUACUAUAGCAUGGAAUAAUGGAAUAGGACUUUGGUUCAUUUUAUUGGUUAUUGAACCUUAGUAAUGAUUAACAGGGACAGUUGGGGGCAUUAGUAUUUAAUUGUCAGAGGUGAAAUUCUUGGAUUUAUUAAAGACUAACUUAUGCGAAAGCAUUUGCCAAGGAUGUUUUCAUUA